CCUACGGGUGGCAGCAGUAGGGAAUAUUGCUCAAUGGGGGAAACCCUGAAGCAGCAACGCCGCGUGGAGGAUGAAGGUUUUCGGAUUGUAAACCCCUUUUGUUAGAGAAGAUAAUGACGGUAUCUAACGAAUAAGCACCGGCUAACUCCGUGCCAGCAGCCGCGGUAAUACGGAGGGUGCAAGCGUUACUCGGAAUCACUGGGCGUAAAGAGCGCGUAGGCGGGAUAGCAAGUCAGAGGUGAAAUCCUAUGGCUUAACCAUAGAACUGCAUUUGAAACUGUUAUUCUAGAGUAUGGGAGAGGAAGGUGGAAUUCUUGGGGUACGGGUAAAAGCGGU
rnacentral:rRNA from 1 species